CCUACGGGAGUCAGCAGUGAGGAAUAUUGGUCAAUGGCCGGAAGGCUGAACCAGCCAUGCCGCGUGAAGGUCAGUGCCCUAUGGGCGUUAAACUUCUUUUGUGCGGGAGCAAUAAUGGUCACGUGUGGCCAGACGAGAGUACCGUACGAAUAAGCAUCGGCUAACUCCGUGCCAGCAGCCGCGGUAAUACGGGGGAUGCAAGCGUUAUCCGGAUUUAUUGGGUUUAAAGGGUGCGUAGGCUGUGAGGUAAGUCAGCGGUGAAAUGCCCCCGCUCAACGGGGUGAAGUGCCAUUGAUACUGCCUGGCUGGAAUGCGGAUGCCGUGGGAGGAAUGUGUGGUGUAGCGGUGAAAUGCAUAGAUAUCACACAGAACACCGAUUGCGAAGGCAUCUCACGAAUCCGCGAUUGACGCUGAUGCACGAAAGCGUGGGUAUCAAACAGGAUUAGAUAUCCGGGUAGUC
rnacentral:rRNA from 1 species